CCUACGGGGGGCAGCAGUGGGGAAUAUUGCACAAUGGGGGAAACCCUGAUGCAGCGACGCCGCGUGAGUGAAGAAGUAUUUCGGUACGUAAAGCUCUAUCAGCAGGGAAGAAAAUGACGGUACCUGACUAAGAAGCCCCGGCUAACUACGUGACAGCAGCCGCGGUAAUACGUAGGGGGCAAGCGUUAUCCGGAUUUACUGGGUGUAAAGGGAGCGUAGACGGCAGCGCAAGUCUGGAGUGAAAUCCCAUGGCUUAAACAUGGAACUGCUUUGGAAACUGUGCAGCUAGAGUGCAGGAGAGGUAAGCGGAAUUCCUAGUGUAGCGGUGAAAUGCGUAGAUAUUAGGAGGAACACCAGUGGCGAAGGCGGCUUACUGGACUGUAACUGACGUUGAGGCUCGAAAGCGUGGGGAGCAAACAGGAUUAGAUACCCGGGUAGUC
rnacentral:rRNA from 1 species